AGGACAAAUUCCUAUCGUUUUUCUCCCCGUAGGGAGGUUGAGGAACCCGUGCUGGGAACCACCGGUGCCCGCCUCUUUGUUAUUACCGGCACCCCAAUUGAUGACCGCUGUUAUUGGGCCUAAAGCUUCCGUAUCUGGCCAGACAAGUUCAUCGGGAAAUCUGCGCGCCUAACGCGCAGGCGUCCGGGGGAAACUGCCUGGCUUGGGACCGGAAGACCAAAGGGGUACGUCUGGGGUAGGAGUGAAAUCCCGUAAUCCUGGACGGACCACCGGUGGCGAAAGCGCCUCGGGAAAACGGAUCCAACGGUGAGGGACGAAAGCUCGGGUCACGAACCGGAUUAAAUACCCGGGUAGUCCAAGCUGUAAACAAUGUCUGCUAGGUGUGACACAGGCUACAAGCCUGUGUUGUGCCGUAGGGAAGCCGUGAAGCAAACCGCCGGGGAAGUACGUCCGCAAGGAUGAAACUUAAAGGAAUUGGCGGGGGAGCAAAA
rnacentral:rRNA from 1 species